UGCGUAGGUGGUUGUUUAAGUCUGUCGUGAAAGCCCUGGGCUCAACCUGGGAACUGCGAUGGAAACUGGGCGACUAAAGUGUGGUAGAGGGUAGCGGAAUUCCUGGUGUAGCAGUGAAAUGCGUAGAUAUCAGGAGGAACAUCCAUGGCGAAGGCAGCUACCUGGGCCAACACUGACACUGAGGCACGAAAGCGUGGGAGCAAACA
rnacentral:rRNA from 1 species